CCGUCACUUACCAUCACCCAAACUCUGCUACUCUGUGGUUGGGUUGCACAAUGUCGUAUUAUAAUUAACCGUGAAAAUUGGUGCAAGUAUUCGAACAUUCGUUAUUAAAAACACUUAACGGGCAAGAUACAAACUGGAUUCGUUGUUACGAAUGACUAUUUUUAAAAUUUUUUGUCUAAUUUAAAAAUUUUUUAUUAUCUUGUAUUCAUUUUAUAUAUGUAAUUGCAUUGUUAGACUUUUAAAGGUAUUAAAUUAAAGGGAUAACGACAGAUAUUUUAUUCUAUUAAAAGUUUCCAAUCUUGUUGCAUAGGUAUUGUAUUUCGAAUAUAGCUUUUCCACAGCCUUUGUAUCAAUUUUAUGUAAUUAAUUUCAUACAUGAAACUUUGUGUUAUUUCUAAUAAUAGACAUCACAAUGUUCUCUUAAAGAUAUUUCUGUCGUACUACUAUUUUCAAUAAAUGUAACAACCAAGUUACAAUUAAGAUGCACCACUUGUUGCAAAAUUUUAAAAAUGAAUAGAAUAUUAUGAAUCUUUCAAUUACCAUGUUGUGUACUUUGUAUUCAGAAAUAUUUGUCUCAAUCAUUGAUCUCAAGUAGAAUAUUCUGUGCAAUGAAAAUUUUGUAUCUCUAAAAUAAUGCAAUUAUUAACUCAAGUGUUUUAAGACCCCAAUCUAAAUAAAGUAUAUGUAUGCAUUUAUACACAGCUGUAAUGUAAUGGAGUAUGGUGCUUAUAAAGAAUAUGGUAAUACCUGCUAUGAUUAUUAUUAUGCUAUUCUCUUUGUUAAAGUUUUUUAUGAAUCCGGAACACAUUGCAUACUACAAAAGUAUAGCUUGCACUAAAGUUCCUUAUAUACAUAUCUUAAAAUUACAGAAAAUUUCUCAUGAUAUUGUUCUAGCAUAAAAAUCACAAUUUUUUGUACCCAAUUUGACUACAUGCAGUUCACAAUUUUUCAUCAUUUUUUUUGCCUUUAAUGUAAAAAUUGUUAUAAUAGAAGAAUAAUGUACUACUUAAAGCUAAUUGUUACUCAUGUUAUGUCAAAGUGAAGUAACUUCACGUUUUAUCAGUAAUAGUUCAUUUCUUUCCCUUGUUUUAGCACGUAGUCACAUUUUAAUUUUAUUGCAAAAUCUAUAUUGUAUAAAAUUUAAAAUACAUGCAUGAAAAUAAAAAUCAGGAAUUACAUACUCGUAAGUUUGCUUCGUACUUUUUAAUAAGAUAAAUCUAUUCGUAUCAUUUUCAUAUUAUUUCUUAAGAUAUAUUUUCAUAUAUCUUAAAAAGGUACUAUACUUUGACAAUUCUGAGAAUUUAUGACGUGUUCGGUUUACUACAUUCUUAAUAAAUGCAUGACAAUUUUAGAAAAUGACAUUUACAUUUUAACGUAUAUUGUAUUGUUUAAGACAUGCUUAUAAUUUAUAUAUAUUUUUUAAAUGUGACUAACCAAAAACAAAAAUUGAAAAAUAUGAUCUAUCUGAGAUCAUCAGUCAAAAGAUAAUUUGUUUAUAGCAGCUAAGAUUAUUUCUGAGUUACUAUAUUGCUUUUGUAUGAAUUAAUAUUUACACCUUGGUAUAAUGAAAAUUUAUAUUUUAAAUGCAAAUGGUAUUGUACCAAUGACUGUGUACAGGUAGUUAGCUUUUCAUGUAUUUUUCAGUAUAUAAUAUGAAUCUCGCAAAUUUAAUGUCUAUGGAAAUUGCUAUAUAUUCGAUUAACGGCUGUACAUCUAUAAUGUUAAACAUGGGUAUAUCGAUUCACAUUAGCUAGAUUUCGAAGAUAAUGAAACAUGAUCCUCGCACAUAUCGAUAUCGACAUUUUAUCAUUCACAUUCACGCAGAAUAUGUACUUCAAUCAAACGACAUUUUACAAUCAUCUUACCAUAAAUUAAUUACAGAAACAAGUUAUUAAUUUACUAUAAUACAGCUAACAUCUUAUUAAGUGUAUCCAGCCUCCCUAAAAAUGUUUUUAUUUUCUUCACGUAUUGUAAGUCUUUCUGUUUAUAGUAGGAAAGUGGUCAACUUCUAUCAUGUCAUAGAGCGUAGAAGAAUUCCAGAUAUGGCCAAAGCAGACAAUUAUUUACAUCCAUGGGAUGUAUUUACAUGGUUUUAAUAUACUGUUCGUUAUUAAACGCAGUGCGUCAAGCGCAUAUAAAUUAAUUUAUAGUUUUAUGUGUCACUCCAUAUAUCCUAUUUUAGAGAAUUACUUUUGCUUUUCACAGCAAAUAAUAAACAAAAGUCAAUGACCAUGUCUUUUGAGAUUCUGUAUCUGUCUAGGCGCAGCUCACACUGGACACUGAUUCUUCAUUCUUUGUGUACACUAUUGUGAACACAUUUAAACUCACUCACUAACCACUUGUCUGAAAUUAAACAGACAGAUUAAUUUAACAUAUUUCCACACAUUUCCUAUGAGGUACAAUAUAUAUAUA